rnacentral:sRNA from 1 species
CUCUUUCCCUUCGGUGUGGUGAGUAAGUGUAGUUGUCGUCUCUUGUAGUGCAGCUGCUGGUUCUCACACCUUUUAGGUCUGUUCUCGUCUUCCGUUCCGACUCUCUCUCUUUCGUUGCAGCCACUGAAGAUCCUGGUGUCGCCAUGGGCCGCCGCCCCGCCCGUUGUUACCGAUAUUGUAAGAACAAGCCGUACCCAAAGUCUCGCUUCUGCCGAGGUGUCCCUGGUAAGUAGUGGAAGAGCCCCUGCACUGGUUGGCUCUACUAACUCAGCGUCCGUCUGUGACACCCCCUGCACACUUACCCAAUCCUUUUUUAGAUGCCAAGAUUCGCAUUUUUGACCUGGGGCGGAAGAAGGCAAAAGUGGAUGAGUUUCCGCUCUGUGGCCACAUGGUAUCAGAUGAAUAUGAGCAGCUGUCCUCUGAAGCCCUGGAGGCUGCCCGAAUUUGUGCCAAUAAGUACAUGGUAAAAAGUUGUGGCAAAGAUGGCUUCCAUAUCCGGGUGAGGCUCCACCCCUUCCACGUCAUCCGCAUCAACAAGAUGUUGUCCUGUGCUGGGGCUGACAGGUGAGCUUGGUCUGGGCUUUUUAAGGCAGUUGGAGUCUCUACAUUAUUAGGCUUGCAUUAUUGCAUCAGAGCAUAGAGGUGGCCCCAGUGACUCAGCCACUAUGGCUACUAGAAAAGCCAGGCUGGCAAGUGACUUUCAGUGGUCACUCAGGACCCUUUCCUGUGGACUGUUGCGGAUACAAAGCAAGCAUGAGUAAGUCUUAGCAAGCUCUUCCCCACAGGUUAGGGCAAACACUUGUGAUUGGAGUAGCUCUUCUUGCUUUUAGCUUGAUGACAACCAUCUUGCCAGCAAGCAGGUAGUUGAAGCUGGCAGAGGAGCUCAGUGUCGCCUUUUCAAUGGUUCUUGGGAUGCUCUGCAGCCAAUUAAGCCGACUGAGUUCCUUUCCUCAUGGGGGCCCAGUGUGCAAUGGCUGCACACAGCAGCUUCCUUGGUAGUGUACGCAGCCUGUUGGUUGUAUGGGUUGCUCUAAGGGACCUUGGAGACAGGCCUUUCCGAUGGAUGUUCAUGUUUCUGACCUUGCACUACCCCAAUGUAGGCUCCAAACAGGCAUGCGAGGUGCCUUUGGAAAGCCCCAGGGCACUGUGGCCAGGGUUCACAUUGGCCAAGUUAUCAUGUCCAUCCGCACCAAGCUGCAGAACAAGGAGCAUGUGAUUGAGGCUCUGCGCAGGGCCAAGUUCAAGUUUCCUGGCCGCCAGAAGGUACGUAGUGCUGCAGCCCCCUUCUCCCACCUUUUUUGCCUCAGGCCUCCUGACUCAAUUCUUUCCAUUGCUCCCUAGAUCCACAUCUCAAAGAAGUGGGGCUUCACCAAGUUCAAUGCUGAUGAAUUUGAAGACAUGGUGGCUGAGAAGCGGCUCAUCCCAGAUGGCUGUGGGGUCAAGUACAUCCCCAAUCGUGGCCCUCUGGACAAGUGGCGGGCCCUGCACUCAUGAGGGCUUCCAAUGUGCUGCCCCCCUCUUAAUACUCACCAAUAAAU